rnacentral:rRNA from 1 species
UCAAGUUAUUAAGGGUGCAGGGCGGAUGCCUUGGCACUAGGAGCCGAUGAAGGACGUGAUAAGCUGCGAUAAGCUUCGGGGAGUUGCACGUAAACUUUGAUCCGAAGAUUUCCGAAUGAGGAAACUCACUUAGAGUAAUGUCUAAGUAUCAUUAAGUGAAUACAUAGCUUAAUGAGGGGAACUCAGGGAACUGAAACAUCUAAGUACCUGAAGGAAGAGAAAGAAAUUCGAUUCCGUAAGUAGCGGCGAGCGAACGCGGAUUAGCCCAAACCAAUAAAGUUUUCUUUAUUGGGGUUGAGGACAUACCACAUAUAAGAGGUCAUUAUAGACGAAGAAGUUUGGAAAAACUCAUCAUAGAAGGUAAUAAUCCUGUAGUCAAAAUAAUAAUUCUUUAGGUAUGAUCCAGAGUACCACGGGACACGUGAAACCCUGUGGGAAGCAGGAGGGACCACCCUCCAAGGCUAAAUACUACCUAGUGACCGAUAGCGUAUAGUACCGUGAGGGAAAGGUGAAAAGAACCCCGGGAGGGGAGUGAAAUAGAACCUGAAACCCUGCACUUACAAGCUGUGGAAGCACAUUUCUUGUGUGACCGCGUACUUUUUGUAGAACGGGCCAACGAGUUACGUUAAGUAGCAAGGUUAAGCACUUAAGGUGUGGAGCCGUAGCGAAAGCGAGUUUUAACUGAGCGUUCAGUUACUUGACGUAGACCCGAAACCGGGCGACCUACCCAUGAGCAGGAUGAAGCGAAAGUAAAAUUUCGUGGAGGUCCGAACCCACGAGCGUUGAAAAGCUCGGGGAUGACUUGUGGGUAGCGGUGAAAUUCCAAUCGAGCCCGGAGAUAGCUGGUUCUCCCCGAAAUAGCUUUAGGGCUAGCCUCAAGGUGAGAGAUACGGAGGUAGAGCACUGAAUGUCCUAGGGGGUAUUGCACCUACCGAAGACUAUCAAACUCCGAAUGCCGUCAUCUUAUACUUGGGAGUCAGACUGUGGGUGAUAAGAUUCAUAGUCGAAAGGGCAACAGCCCAGAUCGUCAGCUAAGGUCCCUAAAUGUAAGUUAAGUGGUAAAGGAUGUGGGAUUGCACAGACAACCAGGAUGUUGGCUUAGAAGCAGCCACUCAUUCAAAGAGUGCGUAAUAGCUCACUGGUCGAGUGAUCCUGCGCCGAAGAUUUCCGGGGCUAAAACUUACUACCGAAGCUACGGCAUCAGUAAUGAUGGGUAGGGGAGCUUCCCAUACGGGUUGAAGCAUGACCGUAAGGACAUGUGGACAGUAUGGGAGUGAGAAUGUUGGCAUGAGUAGCGAGAUGUGGGUGAGAAUCCCACAGGCCGUAAACCCAAGGUUUCCAGGGGAAGGUUCGUCCGCCCUGGGUUAGUCGGGACCUAAGCUGAGGCCGAAAGGCGUAGGUGAUGGACAACAGGUUGAUAUUCCUGUACUACCGAUAACCGUUUGAGAGANGGGAUGACACAGUAGGAUAAGCUAAGCACACUGUUGGUUAUGUGUGCCCAAGCAUUGAGGCAGUCAAAGUAGGCAAAUCCGCUUUGAUAAUGCUGGGAUGUGAUGGGGAGCGAAAUUUAGUAGCGAAGUAGCUGAUUUCACACUGUCAAGAAAAGUCUCUAUCGAGGUUAAAGGUACCCGUACCGCAAACCGACACAGGUGGGUGAGGAGAGUAUCCUAAGGCCAGCGAGAGAACUGUUGUUAAGGAACUCGGCAAAAUGACCCCGUAACUUAGGGAUAAGGGGUGCCACCAUCAGGUGGCCGCAGAGAAUAGGCCCAAGCGACUGUUUACCAAAAACAUAGGUUUCUGCUAAGUCGCAAGACGAUGUAUAGGAGCUGACGCCUGCCCGGUGCUGGAAGGUUAAGGGGAUCUGUUAGAGNNNNNNNNNNNNNNNNNNNAAUCGAAGCAGUGAACUUAAGCCCCAGUAAACGGCGGCCGUAACUAUAACGGUCCUAAGGUAGCGAAAUUCCUUGUCGGGUAAGUUCCGACCCGCACGAAAGGCGUAACGAUUUGGGCACUGUCUCAACAACAGACUCGGUGAAAUUGUAAUUCCGGUGAAGAUGCCGGAUACCUGCGACAGGACGGAAAGACCCCAUGGAGCUUUACUGUAGCUUGACAUUGGGUCUUGGUACUACAUGUACAGGAUAGGUGGGAGGCUUUGAAACCAGGACGCCAGUUUUGGCGGAGCCAUCCUUGGGAUACCACCCUUGUAGUACUGGGACUCUAACCAUAGGCCAUGAAUCUGGUCUUGGGACACUGUCAGGUGGGCAGUUUGACUGGGGCGGUCGCCUCCCAAAAGGUAACGGAGGCGCUCAAAGGUUCUCUCAGUACGGUCGGAAAUCGUACGUAGAGUGUAAAGGCAAAAGAGAGCUUGAUUGCAAGACAUACAGGUCGAGCAAGGAUGAAAAUCGGACUUAGUGAUCCGGUGGUUCUGCGUGGAAGGGCCAUCGCUCAACGGAUAAAAGCUACCCUGGGGAUAACAGGCUUAUCUCCCCCAAGAGUCCACAUCGACGGGGAGGUUUGGCACCUCGAUGUCGGCUCAUCACAUCCUGGGGCUGUAGUAGGUCCCAAGGGUUGGGCUGUUCGCCCAUUAAAGUGGUACGCGAGCUGGGUUCAGAACGUCGUGAGACAGUUCGGUCCCUAUCCGUCGCAGGCGUAGGAAAUUUGAGAAGACCUGUCCUUAGUACGAGAGGACCGGGAUGGACGUACCUCUGGUGUACCAGUUGUCCUGCCAAGGGCAUGGCUGGGUAGCUAUGUACGGAAUGGAUAAGCGCUGAAAGCAUCUAAGCGCGAAGCCAACUUCAAGAUAAGAUUUCCCACCGCAAGGGUAAGACCCCAGAAAGACUAUCUGGUUGAUAGGUCGAAGGUGUAAGUGCAGCAAUGUAUUUAGCUUAUCGAUACUAAUAGGUCGAGGACUUGACCAA